GUGGACAGCACAGGCUUGCUGGUAUCAAAGGGACUAUAGGCACCUGCCCCCACCAAUUUCACCACUGACAGUUGUGUUCAGCACGCUUUGCAACCAUAUGGAUUGGACAGUCAUCGUUGAGGCUCCGGUAUUUGUGAAAUAUGAUUGACGAAUAUUUCCACGACAUAAAUGACGAUCUAGCCAGGAGUGGGGAAAAGGGACCAGAGACGGUGAAAAUCUGCAGCUGUGAAUGGGCUUCCUGGAUGGACUACACAAAACACAACUUGACCUGAGACCUAGGACCAUGCCUCAGGACUACCUGGCCUGAUGACUCCUUGCUGUUCCCAGUCUACCAGGCCGUGCUGCUCCUGCGGCUAUGGAACGCUGACCUGUUCACCGGACGUGCUACCUGUUCCAGACAUGCUGUUUUCAACUCUCUAGAGACAGCAGGAGCCGAAGAGAU